UGAUCCUAAAUAAUGUUAUUUGUGAAACAUUGAAGUAUCACCAUUAAAAAAGAUAUAAGUAAUCAACAUUGAAUAUUAAUUACUACAUCAUUUGAAAACUCAUGAAGAAAUAUGAUUUUCGUCAUUCGUUAUUCUAAAGAUAAAUAAGAAAAAUCAAUGUAACAAGAAUCAAUUAUGUUAUACCCACAACCAUGACCAAACCUUUGUCUGUAGCUCAAUACAAUUAAAAAUAAUUAGAAUACAGAUAUACAGACAGGGUUGGUCAUCACAUUUUACCAUCUAGAUUUACCUUAUUAUUAUUACGUGUAGCAAACAAUGUUUCACAUGGAGUUGAAUGCCUUUGAAGGGAGGGUUCAUACUGAUGGUACUUUUUUUUUUUGUAGCUAGACGUGUAAAGAACAUAUGAAGGUCAUUAAUGAUUUCUUUUUCUUUUUUUAAACGGAACCAUAUAAAUUUUUAUAAAAAGACGAAGUUGAUGGCACGCAAUUUUGUUUAUUAUUAUUAUUAUUAUUUAAUUAUAGCCAGUUGAUAUUGGAGCUAUAGUAUCACAAAGAUUAACUGCUAUGAGAAAGUUAAAAGAAAAUCCGAAUGAUGCUGUUGCAAAAAGUCAUUUGACUAGACUACAAAAUCAGAUGACAACGUGGGCAGAAAGUAAACAAAUGCCAGGUCAAUUUACUGGUAGUAGAGGUACCAAAGUGCUCUCACCUGUUGAGCUUCAUUCAGAUUAUCAAGCAUGGGCUUUAAGAAAAAUGUAUUCUAGUAACUAGGGCUCGUAUUGUAUAAAUGUA